UGCCCAUAUGGCCCCGAUGGACAAACACAUGUGGACAAUCAGGAGUUGAAUUAGUUGGAAUCACAGACGAGGAUCCGGUCAGUCCUCGUGAAGUCAGGGAGCUUCUACAAACAGUCUAAGAGUUGCUCCUCCAUAUACAUGGACACCAGCCAUCUGUCCAGCAUUUGUGAAGGCCUCCUGCCACAUCAACAGGAUGGACACUGAGGAAACAGAAAGAGGCCCAUCUCCCCUUCAUCCCCAGUGAUGAGACCACCUUGGGUGGGUCCGGUCACGGCUGCAAGGGAAGAGCCCACCUGGUUCUUCUCAACGUGUUCUCCACUCCCCGAGACCACAGUGAGAGGAGACGCCGCACACCCUACCACCAGGCCCCAUUCCUGAAGGACACAGCCCGUUCCCCGCCUCACCCAGCCUCUGGUUUCUUGACAUCUCACAGAGCGAAGAGAAGGACUUGGGUUUCACGUUGGGGAGCUUUCCCACUAUGGAGACUGGAAAGCCAAGAGGAAUGCUGGACCCAAGCUCUCAUGAAGGAAAUACCUGGGGGCAUUCCUGGCUUCCUCGGGGCUGGCCAAUGCUCAGGCAUGUGCUGAUUGACAUAAACAGACUUCCUGGAAUUCAAGAGGGAGGAGAAACAGAACACCCACCAGGCAGAUCCCCCCUGCAAAAACGGGCGUGGGCAGAGAGGUGGUGACGGCCAGGCCCUCAUCCUCCACUGACCCUACACCUGACCCUGCACAAAGAGGUGACGGAGAGGGUCAGGGUGGCUCACUGUGCCGUCCCUGAGGAGGACGCUCCCCCGGAGAGACGGAGUCAACCUGUCACAGCACUUCACAGAGAUGGGAAAUUCCCCGAGAAAUGUUCAAACAUGCAUGAAAGUGGAGAAAACAAUCUAACAAUCCCCAUGACCCAUCGCUCAGAACCCCGCCCCAUUCUUCCUUCAUUAUCCAGAGAGAUAACUGAGACCUUAGAGCAAUAGUUCUCGGCCUUGAUGCACAUUGGAAACAGCUGGAGAGAUUUCAAAGCAGAUGCUGGGCUGCCCCUCAGAGCUUCUGAUUUAGUUGGUCUGGGCUGUGGCUGGCUUCAGCAUAGCAAUUCAAAUAUGCAGCAGCCAGGAUUCCUUUGCUAAAGGAAUCUCUGGGACACCAAUGCCAGCCAAAGGAUCCUUCCACCGGCCAUGUGACUGAACAGCCGUCCUCAUUCCGUCCGUGUGCACAUGCACAGAGAGGGGACUGGGGCGGCAUGCAACAAACAUCCACCAGGGGCCCUCCAGGGAAUGGGCAACUGAUUGAUGUCAGAAUCUCCUAUAAGUCACCAAGAAGAGAAUAAGGAUUUUAAGACUACUGAUGGACAGCAGCUUAAAUAAUGACAAGAUGCUACUCAAUCAGCUGAAAGUGCCUUCCUGAAGCUGUGAUACAAACCUGAAUUCCACGCAUCCAGCCCCCCUUCCGGCCCUCCUUCACAUGCUUCCCAGUCCAGAGAAGACUCCUUUCUAAUCGUCUUCCGCCGAGAUGCCCACUGACUCUCUGUGGUGCUUCCACAACUCCCAUGAAGAUGCAGCACAUGGGGUCCCCUCCCUAACAAGUGGAUGUGCCAGUAGAGGAGUAUGCCAAGCCACUCUCCUGUUUAAAAAAAUCCAUCACCCUCUGAUGUUAAACAGAGAUGGCGUUCCAGGGGAAAACCAGAUUCCCAGCAUGGACAUUCCUCUGAAACUGGUGGGGGUGCAGCUGGGCGAAGGACACUAAGAACGCCUGCCUCCCGGUGUGUGGAGAAGGCCCACGGAGAAUCAGGCGUUUUCCCUUCUGUGGCCGUCUCCUACCACACCAGCUCAUUCUUCGCACGAGCCCCUUUGGUUCCUGACUACACUGUCUCCCAAGGUCUGGUACCAUUAGGUGUAGCAGCAGGUGAGUCUUAGAAGAUGUUUCCAAAACGAAGCUCAAGUUCAAUGCCACCAGCUGCCAAAAACUACCAGCUGGCUCUCCCGGAGAGGGUGGCACACUUCGGGACACGUACUGUCCUGGAAGGCCCUCCCUGGAAGCUGAGACGUGAGACUGCGUGUGGUAGCAACAUAAUCAACACAGCUGUCUUUGAGACUUAUUCUCUCCGAGUUUUGCUUCAGGAACAAGAAAUCAUUGCAACAGGGUCUGUAAUGAGGAAAACAAAUACAUAUUUUAAAUUUGGAUUUUCCUUAAAACAUUCAACAAGCCACUAACUUCAAACAUUGUAACAACCUUAACUCCUCGCCAAAUCAAUUGCAUUAUUCAGUUUUAUUGUUUUUUUUCCUCAAUUAAACAUUGGCAACUGGAACCUGUUUCACCGAAGAGGGAAGGCGGGUUUAAUGCCAUCCCGGCCCUGGGUUAUGGAGCUGCGGAAGGCUUGUCUGUGCAGUUAUCCAGCAGCUGGAUAUUUUCAAGUCUGAAAACUCACAGUCACUCAAAGGGAUAACCUAUAUCCAUCAUCUCACAAUAAUUGUAUUGAUUCUAAGGGUAAGGGAUUAAAUCUGACUUUUAAUGCUCUACCAUUUUAUCAGUGCAUUUGAAUAAAGUUUCAGGAUCUGCACAGGCCUUUCCCAUCGGAAUUUCAUGCAUAUCCCACUCAGAUAUCCUGUGGUUCUGGCUUGUCACAGAGCCAGGCACGUGCUUAUUGGAUUAGAAAUCUAGAUAGACGUUGGGGGCAGUUGAGAGCC
rnacentral:lncRNA from 1 species